rnacentral:rRNA from 1 species
GAUGAACGCUGGCGGCGUGCCUAAUACAUGCAAGUCGAGCGAACGGACGAGAAGCUUGCUUCUCUGAUGUUAGCGGCGGACGGGUGAGUAACACGUGGAUAACCUACCUAUAAGACUGGGAUAACUUCGGGAAACCGGAGCUAAUACCGGAUGAUAUUUUGAACCGCAUGGUUUAAAAGUGAAAGACGGUCUUGCUGUCACUUAUAGAUGGAUCCGCGCUGCAUUAGCUAGUUGGUAAGGUAACGGCUUACCAAGGCAACGAUGCAUAGCCGACCUGAGAGGGUGAUCGGCCACACUGGAACUGAGACACGGUCCAGACUCCUACGGGAGGCAGCAGUAGGGAAUCUUCCGCAAUGGGCGAAAGCCUGACGGAGCAACGCCGCGUGAGUGAUGAAGGUCUUCGGAUCGUAAAACUCUGUUAUUAGGGAAGAACAUAUGUGUAAGUAACUGUGCACAUCUUGACGGUACCUAAUCAGAAAGCCACGGCUAACUACGUG